UACGGAGGGUGCGAGCGUUGUCCGGAAUCACUGGGCGUAAAGGGCGCGUAGGUGGCGUGAUAAGGGUGUGGUGAAAGCCCGGGGCUCAACCCCGGGUCUGCCAUGCCGACUGUCAGGCUAGAGUACUGUAGGGGCAGGCGGAAUUCCGGGUGUAGCGGUGGAAUGCGUAGAGAUCCGGAGGAACACCAAUUGCGAAGGCAGCUCGCUGGGACGUUACUGACGCUGAGGAGCGAAAGCGUGGGGAGCGAACAGG
rnacentral:rRNA from 1 species